CAGCACCUCAAGUGGUCAGGAUGAUUAUUGGGCCUAAAACGUCCGUAGCCGGUUUAGUAAAUGCCUGGGUAAAUCGUGUAGCUUAACUAUACGACUUCCGGGUAGACUGCUAAACUUGAGACCGGGAGAGGCUAGAGGUACUCCUGGGGUAGAGGUGAAAUUCUGUAAUCCUAGUGGGACCACCAGUGGCGAAGGCGUCUAGCUAGAACGGGUCUGACGGUGAGGGACGAAGCCCUGGGGCACAAACCGGAUUAGAUACCCGAGUAGUCC
rnacentral:rRNA from 1 species